CAUAUACUCCCUUCGUUUUAAAAUUUUUGUCUUAUAUUUAUGUGUAUAUAUGAAUGUAUCUAGUCACUUUUUGGUAUUUAGAUACAUUCACUUUUAGACAAAUCUAAAAUAAAAAAAUUGAAACGGAGGAAAUAGUUU
rnacentral:pre_miRNA from 1 species